GAGAUCACCACUGAUGCUGGCAGUACAGCACCAGCACAGAGAUUGUGUGGCUACUCUGCUGGAGCAUGGUGCCAACCGUGCCCACAGAGCUGCUACUGGUAACACCGCCCUUCACUUUGCUGUCCUGGUGUCUAGCAAAUCUCUAGUGGAGCUGUUACUAGAGCAUGGCGCAGAUAUUGAUGUUAAGAAUGAACUGGGAUACACUCCACUUACUCUUGCCAUCACCGAGCGUUGCAAAGGGAUGAUCGAGUUCCUUCUUCAAAAAGGAGCUGACGUGAAUGCUACAGAUAAUCAUAAAAGGACCCCUAUGGAAGUUGCUGCUAUUCUUCAGGAUAAGGAUGCAGUAGAAGUUCUUCUUCGCAAUGGCGGUGUUAUCAAU